UCCAUCGUGCGCCCUAACCUGACGAGUGUUGGAUCUGCCACAUCAAUUAAUGAGGCAUGAUCCAACGCUCUGUGUUUUUUCUGAUUUUAAUUCUUUUUCUUUUAUUAUUUUUAAAUGCUUUUUCUUUUAAAAUUCAUAGAAAAUUAUUUUAUAUCCAAAAAAUUCCAAAAUAAUUUCUAAAAUUCUCUUUUAUUUUUCUUCAUCUGAUUUUCAUUUUUUUACAUUUUAUUUCACUGAUUUUCUACUUUUCAUGAAUUUUCUCUUUU
rnacentral:lncRNA from 1 species